GAUGAAGAACGUAGCGAAAUGCGAUACUUGGUGUGAAUUGCAGAAUCCCGUGAACCAUCGAGUCUUUGAACGCAAGUUGCGCCUCAAGCCAUUAGGUUGAGGGCACGUCUGCCUGGGCGUCACAUAUCGUUGCCUGAUGCCAGUUUCCUCGUGAUGGGUGACUGUGCAGGGCGAAUGAUGGCUUCCCGUGAGCAUUGUUGCCUCAUGGUUGGUUGACAAUUGAGUCCUUGGUAGGGAGCGCCGUGAUAGAUGGUGGUUGAGUGACGAACGAGACCCAAUCAUGUGAGACCCCUACCGAAUUUGGCCUUCAUGACCCACAUGCGUCUUUGGAACGCUCAUGACGAGACCUCAGGUCAGGCGGGGCUACCCGCUGAGUUUAAGCAUAUCAAUAAUCGGAGGA
rnacentral:misc_RNA from 1 species